GAUGAACGCUGGCGGCGUGCCUAAUACAUGCAAGUCGAGCGAACAGACGAGGAGCUUGCUCCUCUGACGUUAGCGGCGGACGGGUGAGUAACACGUGGAUAACCUACCUAUAAGACUGGGAUAACUUCGGGAAACCGGAGCUAAUACCGGAUAAUAUAUUGAACCGCAUGGUUCAAUAGUGAAAGACGGUUUUGCUGACACUUAUAGAUGGAUCCGCGCCGCAUUAGCUAGUUGGUAAGGUAACGGCUUACCAAGGCAACGAUGCGUAGACGACCUGAGAGGGUGAUCGGCCACACUGGAACUGAGACACGGUCCAGACUCCUACGGGAGGCAGCAGUAGGGAAUCUUCCGCAAUGGGCGAAAGCCUGACGGAGCAACGCCGCGUGAGUGAUGAAGGUCUUCGGAUCGUAAAACUCUGUUAUUAGGGAAGAACAAAUGUGUAAGUAACUAUGCACGUCUUGACGGUACCUAAUCAGAAAGCCACGGCUAACUACGUG
rnacentral:rRNA from 1 species